CUCAAUUAUUCUCGAAAUGAGAAGGCGUGGAUGCAAGCGAUGCAUAUUUACCUCAACUUCUGAUGAAAUGACAUGUUGGCUUAUCUUUUUUUAACAAUUUCCCUGCAUUUCUUUUACUUUUUCUCUCCGAUAUCACCAGCACCACACGGUGAUAAAUAAUUGAUAUUCUCUCUUUGGUCCUGAAAAGGCUGUAUGAAAAAAACGAGGUGGGGCUCCAUUUUCUAAAUAAAUAAGAGGGUUUGGAAGGGGAGGAGAUCGAGUGCACAGUUUUCGUUCUUUCCUCCCUCUGGUUUUCCCUUUUUCUCACUUGUUUAUUGCAGUGUCCAAGUUGGUGGUGCUUCUCUUUUUGGAAGAGGACCAAUUCAUGCUUUUCCACAGCUUUCUUGAACUUCAGUGUCUUGAGGUAGAGAUUCUUCUUUAUACGUUGAUCUUCUCAUACGUGCAAGCUCAAGAAUGCUGUGGGAAAACAUGGGUAGGCUCCAAAAUCUUCAGUUUUUUUGAUCUGCAGCUAUUUCCGCCAACUUCGAUGCAUUAAUCAUUAAAAUUGGUGAGAUUUUCUUUGGUUGAGUUCCUUUUUCAGUUUGGGAUCGUGGGUUGUAUGAGAUCUAGAAAAGGCAACAACAGGAAACAGUAGAGAAAAAAGGCUGUGGGUUGCGUCCACUUGCAGGUAAGAGCGUCUCAUUUAGAGCUGCAUCUGAAGGCCAAGGAACAGAAAAAUGAUGGGUUCUGCAACAACCUAUUUGGGGAAGAAGAAGGUGAAAGGGAGAAAGGAAGGGAAACUGUUAAUGGGUUGAUCAAGAUGCAAACUCUUCUGGCCCUUACAAUUGUCAGCAAAUCCUAACUCGUCUACGAUCGGUGGCAUAUCAAAAACUUCUUUUAUGAACGAAAUCAUUGUACACCGACCCUAGGAAAAAGAAAAGCGAUAAAGAAACAUUAACUUGUUGGAAGGAUAUAAAAUUUCACAGUGGUGAAGGUCAACAUGGGGGAGAUCUAGAUAAAGGAUUCGUGGGAUUGGCUGCCAGAGUCCUCAGAUAUUCAGAGGAGCAUUGGGCAGAUCGCCCACCUCUUCUCCGAUCCGAAGGUGUUACUUUAAGAGGACAUCAAAAUCUUUAUUCCAGUUCCUUAUCUCCAGCAUCUCCAGCAAUCCAAAGUAUUUCUUGCCA